rnacentral:rRNA from 1 species
GAUUGCUGUCAGGCCAAGUGGGACAUACUGUUACCCGUCCGAUCAACAAUAGUCAAGCCAUUCAGGGACACAGUGGGAGACCAUGUGUGAAAUUGUGGUGCUGCAAUCU